ensembl:snRNA U6 U6 spliceosomal RNA
GUGCUUCAGCAGCACAUAUACUAAAAUUGGGAAGAUCCAGAGAAGAUUAUUAGCAUGGCCCCUGGACAAGAAUAGCAAGUGUCGGUGAGGAUGUGGAGAGGGUUACU